rnacentral:snRNA from 1 species
AUACCUUUCUCGGCCUUUUGGCUAAGAUCAAGUGUAGUAUCUGUUCUUAUCAGUUUAAUAUCUGAUACGUGGGUCAUUGGCCCACAACGAUAUUAAAUUUAUUUUUUAAGGGGAAAGACCCAUCACAAUAGCUUGCUAUUGGGGUCUU